CUGGAACCUUCAGCUGUCUUGCUCCAUCCCAAGGGCAGCUGCUCUCGGAAAGGAGCUGAAAAUGGAUGCUCUUUUAAGAAUUCAGCGUGGAUUUCUUGCAGACUACAAUUCUUCCUCUCAAGUCAUCUAUCCAUUCAGUGUCAACUGAUCAUCUUUAGUGUUUCAGACUUGCUCUCUCUGGUUUUUGGACCUUCCAGCUUAUCUGAGGCUAAAAACUGCAGCUGAACCACAAGGGAAGAGUGUUUGCUUGACGCUGAGAUGAGGACAGCCUAAGUGCAUUUGCUUGAUGGACACUGCAGAAAUGGCCAUCUUCCAGUAUGAACAGCAAACCACAGACACAAAUCUGCCAAAACUGUAGAGGUACCCAGAAACCAGCCCGUGCCAAUGGCUUUAAAGCCUCGUGCCAGAAGAUGCUCCAGAUGUGUUUCUAUUUAGCUUCCUCAUGUAAGAGUGGUGCUGCUUUCCUGAGUACUAUGGGCAUGAAGCUUAGUGGUAAACAAAGUGAAAGAAAUCGAGCGAUGUUAAUUAUUAUAGGCUAAGAAACUUUUCUGAUCUUAUUUAAUCAGAUAUAAAGCAAUUCCUAUUCAAGACAAAGGAGGGAAGAAUCUGAGCUUUCUUUUCAAUAACAGCAGCUAUUUUUCUGUGGAGUUCAGAUGCUCUGAUCAUCUGAAAUGGAAAGACAGUUAAUACUGGAAAUAUGUAUUUGACACAUCCACUUGCCACUUACAUGUGCAACAGAAUCCAUGGUCUUCUAUAACUAGAAGGAAUUAGUAAUCUAUAACAAGACUAUGAUGUGCUGUUUUCCUGUCAGUGAGAAGCAAAGGAAGAGAGGGGAAAAUAUUCAUUUCAGGGGGAGGAGAAGGAGAGACUUCCAUCAAGUCUGUCUUGUAUUGCCAACACUGGAGAGAAAUAUUUCAUGCUUUUUUAUAACUUUACUAAAUCAUACGGGAACAUCAGACUCUGAAUAAAGAAUAGCAUGGGGGAAAAGAAUGACUCAAAAGGAGAUCUGUCUUACUGAAAGCACGGUUAAACUGUGCGCACGUACUAUUCCUGAAACUGUUUUCCCUGCUUUUAAGGUUUAUCCUUGAAGUCCCUGACUUACUACAGCUACUGGAGGAAAUGAAUGUUGUAGUCUGUACAGGAUGUUUGUAAUGCUUCCAGCAGUAUAAAAAUAACUUUCCCAGUUUUGAUUAAAUUGAGUCCUCAUAAAGAUAAUUAUGGGUUUGUGUAAUGAAAUUUGGCAAAUUCCUAAAGAUGCUAUUUAACUACCUGUGUUAUAAACAAGAUUCUCAGUGCACAUCACUACUGUAUCAGCUGUUAAAGUGAUAGACUUGUAAAGAAGCAGCAUUUUCCUUCACAUUUGGUGUGGUAUUCCUGAAAAAUCAGUGUAGUCAGCUUCACUUUUAGAUUAGACUUCAU